UCGCGCCAAGCAUUUUUUGUCAACAAAGCGUCGAUUCAAGAAGAAAAUUCGUCGUUCUUUUACUAUCGAACUAAUCGGGAGACUGUUUUCAAUCUUGUGGACAAAUAUGAGCGCCGAGCAGAUGACAGGUCCAUACAACGUGUGCCCACUAAUAAACGCUGUAUAUUGGUAGACAGGGACUACGACUUCGAUCGCUCAAAGAGAAC
rnacentral:lncRNA from 1 species